UACGUAGGGUGCGAGCGUUAAUCGGAAUUACUGGGCGUAAAGCGUGCGCAGGCGGUUCGUUGUGUCGGCGGUGAAAGCCCCGGGCUUAACCUGGGAAUGGCCGUCGAAACUGGCGAACUGGAGUGUGGCAGAGGGGGGUGGAAUUCCGCGUGUAGCAGUGAAAUGCGUAGAGAUGCGGAGGAACACCGAUGGCGAAGACAGCCCCCUGGGCUGACACUGACGCUCAGGCACGAAAGCGUGGGGAGCAAACAGG
rnacentral:rRNA from 1 species